rnacentral:rRNA from 1 species
AUUGAACGCUGGCGGCAGGCCUAACACAUGCAAGUCGAACGAGUGGCGGACGGGUGAGUAAUGUCUGGGAAACUGCCCGAUGUAGGGGUAUAACUACUGGAAACGGUAGCUAAUACCGCAUACCAUCGGAUGUGCCCAGUUGGGAUUAGCUAGUUUGGGGGGUAACGGCUCACCUAGGCGACGAUCUCUAGCGGGUCUGAGAGGAUGACCAGCCACACGGGAACUGCGACCCGGUCCAGACUCCUACGGGAGGCAGCAGGGGGGAAUAUUGCACAAUGGGCGCAAGCCUGAUGCAACCAUGCCGCGUGUAUGAAGAAGGCCUUCGGGUUGUAAAGUACUUUCAGCGAGGAGGCGUUACUCGCAGAAGAAGCACCGGCUAACUCCGUGCCAGCAGCCGCGGUAAUUC